GAUGAACGCUGGCGGCGUGCCUAAUACAUGCAAGUCGUACGGAAAGGCCCUUCGGGGUACUCGAGUGGCGGACGGCUGAGUAACGCGUGGGAACGUGCCCCAAAGUGAGGGGUAACGCACCGAAAGGUGUGCUAAUACCGCAUAUGGUCUUCGGAUUAAAGCUUCGGCGCUUUGGGAGCGGCCCGCGUACGAUUAGAUAGUUGGUGAGGUAAUGGCUCACCAAGUCGACGAUCGUUAGCUGGUCUGAGAGGAUGAUCAGCCAGACUGAGACUGAGACACGGCCCAGACUCCUACGGGAGGCAGCAGUAAGGAAUCUUCCACAAUGGGGGCAACCCUGAUGGAGCAACGCCGCGUGCAGGAUGAAGGUUUUCGGAUCGUAAACUGCUUUUAUAAGUGAAGAAUAUGACGGUAACUUAUGAAUAAGGAUCGGCUAACUACGUGCCAGCCGCCGCAGUAA
rnacentral:rRNA from 1 species